GAGUUUGAUCGUGGCUCAGGACGAACGCUGGCGGCGUGCUUAACACAUGCAAGUGGAGCGACGAACCAGGGCUUGCCCUGGGGCAGAGCCGCGAACGGGGUGAGUAACACGUGGGUUACCUGCCUCGAUGACCGGGACAACCCGAGGAAACUCGGGCUAAUACCGGAUGUGCCCGCAAGGGGAAGGAAGCUUCGGCCUCCGCAUCGAGAUGGGCCCGCGGCCCAUUAGCUUGUUGGUGAGGUAACGGCUCACCAAGGCUUCGAUGGGUAGCUGGUCUGAGAGGACGAUCAGCCACACUGGGACUGAGACACGGCCCAGACUCCUACGGGAGGCAGCAGUGGGGAAUCUUGCGCAAUGCGCGAAAGCGUGACGCAGCAACGCCGCGUGGGGGAAGAAGGCUUUCGGGUUGUAAACCCCUUUCAGUUGGACGAAGCUUCUCCGGUGAUAGCCGGAUGGAGUGACGGUACCUUCACAAGAAGCACCGGCUAACUACGUGCCAGCAGCCGCCGCGGUAAU
rnacentral:rRNA from 1 species